CUGAUUUUCAGUACGAAUACGAA
rnacentral:siRNA from 1 species